GGAGAGUUGGCAGAGCGGUCGAAUGCGGCGGUCUUGAAAACCGUUAGCCCGUAAGGGCUCGGGGGUUCGAAUCCCUCACUCUCCG
rnacentral:tRNA from 1 species